AUAAGUUCAUGAAGUGAUUACAAAUAAUAGUUUAUGAGCAUGUUCAUCUCACUCUCAGCAUCUUCUAAAAUCAUUUCUAUAAUUUUCUAUAGUACCCUUCAAAUUAAACUAAGGUUAUAAUUCUCCCUUUCAUGCAGGGGACUCAUAAGUGCUGGAUGAGCACUGUACCAUUGAGCUUACAUCCUCUCCCCCCAAAAAAUCCCUGUAUGGUUUUACACCAAGUGACAAACAUUUGAAUAAACUAAGAUU